rnacentral:rRNA from 1 species
AAGUCGAGCGCGCCCUUCGGGGUGAGCGGCGGACGGGUGAGUAACGCGUGGGAAUAUGCCCUUCUCUAAGGAAUAGCCUCUGGAAACGGAGAGUAAUACCUUAUACGCCCUUUGGGGGAAAGAUUUAUCGGAGAAGGAUUAGCCCGCGUUAGAUUAGGUAGUUGGUGGGGUAAUGGCCUACCAAGCCUACGAUCUAUAGCUGGUUUGAGAGGAUGAUCAGCCACACUGGGACUGAGACACGGCCCAGACUCCUACGGGAGGCAGCAGUAGGGAAUCUUAGACAAUGGGGGCAACCCUGAUCUAGCCAUGCCGCGUGUGUGAUGAAGGCCCUAGGGUCGUAAAGCACUUUCGCCAGAGAUGAUAAUGACAGUAUCUGGUAAAGAAACCCCGGCUAACUCCGUGCCAGCAGCCGCGGUAAUACGGAGGGGGUUAGCGUUGUUCGGAAUUACUGGGCGUAAAGCGCACGUAGGCGGAUUAGUAAGUUAGAGGUGAAAUCCCAGGGCUCAACCCUGGAACUGCCUUUAAUAACUGCUAGUCUUGAGUUCGAGAGAGGUAAGUGGAAUUCCGAGUGUAGAGGUGAAAUUCGUAGAUAUUCGGAGGAACACCAGUGGCGAAGGCGGCUUACUGGCUCGAUACUGACGCUGAGGUGCGAAAGUGUGGGGAGCAAACAGGAUUAGAUACCCUGGUAGUCCACCCGUAAACGAUGAAUGCCAGACCUCAGCCAGUAUACUUGUUGGUGUCCCACCUAACGAAUUAAACUUUCCCCCUGGGGAGUACGGUCCCCGGAUUAAAACUCAAAGGAAUUGACGGGGGCCCCCCCCA